rnacentral:rRNA from 1 species
AAUAUUGCGCAAUGGGGGAAACCCUGANGCAGCAAUGCCGNGUGAGUGAGGAAGGCCUUCGGGUUGUAAAGGCUCUGUCAAAUAGGAAGAAUUCCUCUGGGUCCAAUAGGCCUAGAGAUUGACGGUACUAUUAAAGGAAGCACCGGCUAACUUCGUGCCAGCAGCCGCGGUAAUACGAAGGGUGCAAGCGUUGUUCGGAUUUACUGGGCGUAAAGCGCGCGCAGGCGGAUUAAUAACCCAGAUGUGAAAUCUCGGGGCUCAACCCCGAAACUGCGUCUGGAACUGUUAAUCUAGAGUUAUGGAGGGGAGAGCGGAAUUUCGCAUGUAGGGGUAAAAUCCGUAGAGAUGCGAAGGAACACCAGAGCCGAAGGGGGCUCUCUGGCCAUCAACUGACGCUGAGGCGCGAAAGCGUGGGGAGCAAACAGGAUUAGAUACCCUGGUAGUCCACGCCGUAAACGAUGAGUACUAGGUAUUGGGAGUUUGACCCUCUCAGUGCCAAAGCUAACGCAUUACGUACUCCGCCUGGGAAGUACGGUCGCAAGACUAAAACUCAAAGGAAUUGACGGCU